rnacentral:rRNA from 1 species
GACAGAGGGUGCAAACGUUGUUCGGAAUUACUGGGCGUAAAGCGUGCGUAGACGGUUAUGUAAGUCGGGUGUGAAAGCCCCGGGCUCAACCUGGGAAUUGCAUUCGAGACUGCAUAGCUAGGGUGCGGAAGAGGGAAGCGGAAUUUCCGGUGUAGCGGUGAAAUGCGUAGAUAUCGGAAGGAACACCAGUGGCGAAAGCGGCUUCCUGGUCCAGCACCGACGUUCAGGCACGAAAGCGUGGGGAGCAAACAGG